rnacentral:rRNA from 1 species
CCUACGGGUGGCAGCAGUGGGGAACAUUGCACAAUGGGCGCAAGCCUGAUGCAGCCAUGCCGCGUGUAUGAAGAAGGCCUUCGGGUUGUAAAGUACUUUCAGCGGGGAGGAAGGGCGUAACGUUAAUACCUUUGCUCAUUGACGUUACCCGCAGCAGAAGCACCGGCUAACUCCGUGCCAGCAGCCGCGGUAAUACGGAGGGUGCAAGCGUUAAUCGGAAUUACUGGGAGUAAAGCGCACGCAGGUGGUUUGUGAAGUCAGAUGUGAAAUCCCCGGGCUCAACCCGGGAACUGCAUCUGAUACUGGGAAGCUUGAGUGUCGGAGAGGUGGGUAGAAUUCCAGGUGUAGCGGUGAAAGGCGUAGAGAUCUGGAGGAAUACCGGUUGCGAAGGCGGCCCCCUGGACGAAGACUGACGCUCAGGUGCGAAAGCGUGGGGAGCAAACAGGAUUAGAUACCCGUGUAGUC